rnacentral:rRNA from 1 species
UCCCAGACUCCUACGGGAGGCAGCAGUGGGGAAUAUUGGGCAAUGGGCGAAAGCCUGACCCAGCAAUGCCGCGUGAAUGAAGAAGGUCUUAGGAUUGUAAAAUUCUGUCCUAUGGGAAGAAACAAAUGACGGUACCAUAGGAGGAAGCCCCGGCUAACUACGUGCCAGCAGCCGCGGUAAUACGUAGGGGGCAAGCGUUAUCCGGAAUUAUUGGGCGUAAAGAGUACGUAGGUGGCAACCUAAGCGCAGGGUUUAAGGCAAUGGCUCAACCAUUGUUCGCCCUGCGAACUGGGAUGCUUGAGUGCAGGAGAGGAAAGCGGAAUUCCUAGUGUAGCGGUGAAAUGCGUAGAUAUUAGGAGGAACACCAGUGGCGAAGGCGGCUUUCUGGACUGUAACUGACACUGAGGUACGAAAGCGUGGGGAGCAAACAGGAUUAGAUACCCCAGUA